rnacentral:tRNA from 1 species
GGGCCCAUAGCUCAGUUGGUUAGAGCAGCGGACUCAUAAUCCGUUGGUCCCAGGUUCAAGUCCUGGUGAGCCCA